UAGGGAGGAAAAGAAACUAACAAGGAUUCCCCUAGUAACGGCGAGUGAAGCGGGAAGAGCUCAAAUUUGAAAUCUGGUGGCCUCAGGUCAUCCGAGUUGUAAUCUAUAGAAGUGUUUUCCGUGCUGGCUCAUGUACAAGUCCCUUGGAACAGGGCGUCAUAGAGGGUGAGAAUCCCGUCCUUGACAUGAACUACCAGUGCUCUGUGAUACAUUUUCAACGAGUCGAGUUGUUUGGGAAUGCAGCUCAAAAUGGGUGGUAAAUUCCAUCUAAAGCUAAAUAUUGGCGAGAGACCGAUAGCGAACAAGUACCGUGAGGGAAAGAUGAAAAGCACUUUGGAAAGAGAGUUAAACAGUAUGUGAAAUUGUUGAAAGGGAAACGAUUGAAGUCAGUCGUGCUCUUUGGAUUCAGCCGGUUACAGCCGGUGUACUUCCUUUGAGUGGGGUCAACAUCAGUUUUGAUCGCUGGAUAAAGGCUGGAGGAACGUAGUACCCUCGGGUAAACUUAACUCCUGUCACAUACAGUGGUUGGGACUGAGGAACGCAGCACGCCUUUAUGGCCGGGAUUCGUCCACGUACGUGCUAGGAU
rnacentral:rRNA from 1 species